rnacentral:rRNA from 1 species
AGCAGCCGCGGUAAUUCCAGCUCCAAUAGCGUAUAUUAAAGUUGUUGCAGUUAAAAGCUCGUAGUUGAAUUUCGAGGUCAAAUUGUCGGUCGUGCCUCGGUACGUACUGGCAUUAUUGAUUUCUCCCUUCUGACGAUCCGCGAUGUCAUUAAUUUGGUGUCGUGGGGAAUCAGGACUGUUACUUUGAAAAAUUAGAGUGUUUAAAGCAGGCUCACGCUUGAAUACAUUAGCAUGGAAUAAUGAAAUAGGACGUUUGAUUCUAUUUUGUUGGUUUCUAGGAUCAACGUAAUGAUUAAUAGGGAUAGUUGGGGGCAUUAGUAUUCAAUUGUCAGAGGUGAAAUUCUUGGAUUUAUUGAAGACUAACUACUGCGAAAAGCAUUUGCCAAGGAUGUUUUCAUUAAUCAAGAACGAAGUUAGGGGAUCGAAGACGAUCAGAUACCGUCGUAGUCUUAACCAUAAACUAUGCCGACUAGGGAUCGGAUGAUGUUAAUUUUUUAAUGACUCA